GAUGAAGAACGUAGUGAAAUGCGAUAAGUAAUGUGAAUUGCAGAAUUCAGUGAAUCAUCGAAUCUUUGAACGCACAUUGCGCCCUCUGGUAUUCCGGGGGGCAUGCCUGUUCGAGCGUCAUUACAACCCUCAAGCUUUGCUUGGUAUUGGACAUUGCCAGUUUCUGGCAGAUCUUAAAAUCAGUGGCGGUGCCAUUUGGCUUCAAGCGUAGUAAUUCUUCUCGCUUUGGAGAUCCAAGUGGUUACUUGCCAAUAACCCCCAAUUUUUUCAGGUUGACCUCGGAUCAGGUAGGGAUACCCGCUGAACUUAAGCAUAUCAAUAAGCGGAGGA
rnacentral:misc_RNA from 1 species